rnacentral:snRNA from 2 species
GUGCUCGCUUUGGCAGCACAUAUACUAAAAUUGGAAUGAUACAGAGAUUAGCAUGGACCCUGCACAAGAAUGACACGCAAAUUCGUGAAGCAUUCCAUAUUUUU